UGAGCUCGGAACUGACAUUCUUUUCUACAUACGCUCCACUAGAUUUCCCUUUGUAAAGAUAAAUGCUUCAAUUACACUUGUUUCACACUCUGUGGCGACAAAGGUAGCAACUUUCUCAUCAAGAGGACCCAAUUCAAUAUCUCCAGCCAUUCUUAAGCCUGAUAUAGCAGCACCUGGCGUGAACAUACUAGCAGCUAUUUCUCCAAA